GGAACUAGCUAACUGAAAUCAAUUAUAAUAAUUGAUAACAUAAGGGAAAAUAAUGAUAUUACCUUAUUAUUAGUGUCGUCAAAAACUGGUGCCAGAAGACUCGGUAAGGCCUGAGACACAAACGUUAAUCGUCUUAAUCAGGCGUAAAGGGUUUGUAGGCGGCUUUUAAAUUAACUUAUUAAUAAAAAUAAAAAUAAAAUAAAUAAGUUAAGAAUAAAAGCUAGAAUCAAAUAGAGGAUAUAUCAAAUAAUGCUUAGAGUAGGUCUGAUAUCCUUAGAUACUAAGUAGAAUAUUAAAGGCGAAAGCUUUUUUCCAUUAAUGAUUGACGCUCAGAAACGAAGGUGAGGAUAGGAAAUAGGAUUAGAUACCCAAAAUACCCCUCUCUGUCAACGAUGAAUGGUAGUUAUUAGUAAUAAUUUAUUAAUGGCAAUGUUAACACGAUAACCAUUCCGCCUUGUGAGUACAACUGCAAAGUUGAAAACAAAAAAAUUAGUCGGUUUCGGAGCAAACGAAGUGAAGCAUGUUAUUUAAUAAAAUAUAACCCGGAAAUGGG
rnacentral:rRNA from 1 species